UUUUACAAUUUCAAUUCAAUUUUUACCUAUUCCGUAUAUUUUGUGAGAUUUUGAUUUAGCCUCAUUUUGAAUAAAUCUCGAAAGUAAGUAGUACGUUCGACCAGAAUGCGCACUCUUUAGAGUGCCACCCGGUAUAAAUCCAUACUUUUCACGGAUUUCACAAAAAAAAUACAUACUCGACCAAUAAAAGACGUGAGACUGGUUCGAGGACCCCACCCAGGUGGCGCGUCGGCGCCGAAAUAGAACCUGGGCCCCAAAAAUCAGCUUAUUGGCAAUCUCCCUACUCAUCUCUGCAAAAAUUGUCUGGUGCCGUAAUAAAUAAACGAGUCGCGUCGAAACUCAACGGUCCCCGUUGACGUGAACACGAAUAAUUGAUAAAAAUAAAUAGUGCCGGGACGACAUCUUAUCGCGAGAGUUCACAACACAGCUGUGAAUAUAUUCAUAAGUGACAUGAAUACCAACGAUAAUCUCGAUCAAUGACUUGAACUAAGUCAUUCUAAAUCCCCCAUUGGAUUAUUAUACACAAGAAAAAUAACCGUAGUAACCUCAUUCAUCUUGGACGAAAUAUCGUGAAUCAACAAAAUGGUGGUUCGAUGCGAUAUAGAAACUUUAAUUAAUUAAAUUCCUUCAACUUGUGUCUCAAGAUAAUCACAGAAAACGUAUAGUUAUCGCUACAAGAAUGUAUGAGAGUCAGACUUGACUUUUUGUCUAAAUUCCAAAAGUUUUAUCUACGUACAGGAUAACGUAGGCGGUACCCUUUUACACCAUGGAGCACAGAACACCAUAAGAAACACGUGGUCCACCUUCAACAUGGAAGUUCAGCCGAGAAUCCGAUGCUACUCGAAACCCGCAAACUUAAUCGCCUCUGUGUAUAGUAUAUAUACCACUCUAUCCAAAGCAGCUGGUGGGAUCUCUUUGAACUUGCCGCGAUGUGGCGAAUCGCUAGGGUUAACACGAGAGCAAAGAGUCGAUUAUAAGAUGACUCAAGUGCUCCGCCUAAACAUCAUCCUAACUCUGGAACCACCUAUAUUUUCGUAGAUAUAACAUCACUUAAUGAAAAAUACUGUAGACUGACACCAAAGAUAUUUUUGUCAAAAUAUCUAAUGCAGUAACGAGUACAGCUUUAAUUUUUUUCAUAUGGAAUACAUAAUGUAGCAGCAUGCCCGAAAAUUUACUGAGGAUUCUGCAGUAAUCGCCUGUACGUAUACUUCAGAUAGUCCUACGAAAGCCAAAGAACUGUACCGGAAGAACGUGACAGAAACAUGAAGAAAAAAAAAGAGAAAGAGUCACUUUUCAAACAACGAUUCGUGAUCGCCAUAUAAUUGACAAAUAUUAAAAGAAAAAGAAGACAGGAAUAUAAAGACGACCAUUAAUAUUCGCAAGGUGUUCGCAGCGUCUUCUUGUCUGGGUUUGCAUUUUCUCUGCUCCUUAAUAGACAUACGAUUCCUCCUCUAUCUCCGAACAGUUCGUGAUUUUGCAUAAGUGAAUACGCAUAUGUAUGCGAAGGCGUCCCAUCCUGAAUUAAUCUAGCGAGUUCGGAGUCAAGAAAUCGUAGGAGUCUGAAAGACAGAUAAACACGUGCCCAGUACCAGUUCUGGGUAGGGUGGCUGACUGGCUGGCUGGAGGACCGACUGACUGACGUGAUGGACACACGGAUGGACGUGCGCACUGACUGACAGCUGCGUCACUUUUGUUUUGUAUCUUUUUUCAUCAUUGUUAAGGUCUGCCACGCCUAGCCAUAAUGCACGGCGAGACUCAUUGUCUGUACACUAUGGUGCCAACUUAUCUUGGAUCUUAUGAGCAACCAGUAUAUGGAAUAAUAAAUUGGCAGUCAAGACCAUCGUGGAUUUCAUGUGAGUCAAGCUGCUGAGACUGUGAGGUCCUUUUUAUUUUUUCAAGGAAUCUCUUGCUACGUUACGUUCCUAGAAUAUAACAGUUCCAAGAAAGGUCUUGAAGAGCUUUUAAAGAUUUUCAAAUCCAAAGAAAAGACAAGGGCAUCCAAUGGUACAGCUUGACUUGUAACUUGAUCAUACUAAUUUGAUUACAAAAAUAAAUAUACAGGGUGGGAUACUUACAGUGUCCGGAUCAAGACAAAAUACCCGUUCUUCACGUUACUUGGGAUCUGCUAUCUAGUCUCUCUAAUCAUCCCCUUUAUUCAACUCUACAAGGAAUCGAAUCCCAGUGGAGCGCGAAAGGCGUCGAAAUUUAAGCCAGGCACUUUUAAAGUCCCCAGCCAGCUAAUGGCCCUAGUCAAAUUACGCUUUAAGCCGGGUACACAAUGUGCACCAGGAUCGCUUUAAAUCUGCCAAAGGGGAAAGGACUAGCCGACCAAGUGGUCAGCAUCCAGCCAAGAACCGGAGCCAUUUAACGACAUUGCUAAAAGCAGCUGGCUGAAAAGUUUCAGAAAAUAAUAUUAACUCCCUGCAUGGAUCCUGAUGUACAUGGAAGUACUGAAGUAUUCAAUGCCACGUUACGUGACAUUUCUAUGGAAUUUUAAAGCGAUAACAACCAAGCGAUACGAGAGCCAGUUACUUGCAAUUGUAAUAGUAUCAACAAACAUUGACGCACGGUAGUAGCAGGAAACGCUGUCAGAGAACAAUUUCCGCC